rnacentral:rRNA from 1 species
GACGAACGCUGGCGGCGUGCUUAACACAUGCAAGUCGAACGGAGUGGCGAACGGGUGAGUAACGCGUAAUCAACCUGCCCUUCAGAGGGGGACAACAGUUGGAAACGACUGCUAAUACCGCAUACUGAAGGAGGGGAUUGCGUCUGAUUAGCUAGGUUGAGGGGUAACGGCCCACCAAGGCGAUGCUCAGUAGCCGGUUUGAUAGGAUGAACGGCCACAUUGGGACUGAGACACGGCCCCGACUUCUACGGGAGGCAGCAGGGGGGAAUCUUCCGAAAUGGACGAAAGUCUGACGGAGCAACGCCGCGGGAGUGAUGACGGCCUUCGGGUUGUAAAGCUCUGUUAAUCGGGACGCGGUACCGGAAUAGAAAGCCACGGCUAACUACGUGCCAGCCGCCGCGGUAAUAC